rnacentral:lncRNA from 1 species
UCCUAAGGUCUAAGCGUCAUAUAUGCAAUCUCACAGGGAUGGCUCCCUAAACCUAAAAUUAAGGCCACCAGAGCUAUGGUCCUUUUCACAACUUUUCCACAACAGUUGGACGUAACUAGGUGUGAAAUUGCAUGUAAAGAGAACAGCCACUGGCUGGGGUUUUCACGAUAGCCAAACUGGAGAUAGUCCAGACGUGACACCGCUACACAACCCCUCUAAUUCUAUGUUGCACUCAGACCCGGGUAUAGGGCCCUACUCAUGAUAUGUACAAUAAUAAAAAUGAGAAUAAAAGCAUAUAAAUAAAUUAAAAAAAUAAAUAAAGACAAUCAUACAUAUAAAUAAAGGGGAAAUAAAAUAAAAUAAAACAAAAUAAAACAAAAUAAAAGAAAAAUAAAAUAAAGAAAAACCAAACCAAUUUUUCACAUUUAAUUAAGAAGGCCUGAUUCUCUAGAGUUCCCAGCAGAGUCGCCAG